GCAAAAUAUUUAAGCAAGGAAGCUAAGUCUUAACUAGAAACUCAUUUAAUUUCAUUCAUUUAUUUAAAAAAAAUUGGCAAGGCAAUUUACAUCGGAUUAUAAAUUCAUCAAAGCGAACUAUUUGCAUGCAAAUAUCUUUAUAGAUUAAGAUAAAUGGAUAUUAAUUGAAUUAUUAUCCAUAUUUGAAUAGUUAUAUAAUAUUGCAUUAAUCAUAGCUAGGAAUUGAAUCAUUAUAUACUUUAAAAUGGGUACGAACCAAAAUGUGGUCACUUUUUACCUAUUUCACUGCAUUAUUCCCUUUAAAAACACUGAGCAAAUGUUGGGAAAAAUCUCUGCAAAGUAUGCCACGAUUUGAAAAGGAAUCCAAAACUACUAUAUUACUGCAAAUUGGGGGAAGCCCCAAACCUUUCCCAACACCAAGGGCUCUAGCUACUUAACCCGCCUCACUAAUCAGUAAAAUACCCUCAGUUGGAUUGAAAAGGAUCGCAUUGCACCACCCACCGACCAUCGACCACCGACCACCGACCACCAGUGCAUCACAACCACCCGGCGGGGCGGCGACCUGUUGAGUUGACAACUUGUUCGCACUUCAUCCACUCGGAACCACCACACCUGACCUACGGACGGGAUCUUUGGCAAAAGCACCACCUAGUCGGUCCGGGGGCAGUGUCCCGCAUUCCGCUCCACACAACCCCAGCAGCACUCAUUCUCCACCCACAAAAAAAUUGAGGGGAGACCCGGCACUCUGCAAGGAUAAAGUGUGCUCCAGGCGGAAAAUACUGCAUCACCUGCACGCCGAGUCCUUAAUUCGAACAUCUCGCUCGUUCAGGACAGCUGGCUGGGUGGCACAGCGGCAGACCGGCCUUUUUGGAACCGACAGAUGUCUGUCGAUGUCGGCCGUAAAAUGCAAUGGUCGCUCGCGGGCAGGCAGUCCAACGAGUUGCAGCCGGCUCUGAGGUAUUGAGCUAUUGAGGCAUUGAGCAGAACCAAGCUGAAAGGACGAUGGCUACGAAGGGAUCGAGAAAGAGACUACGUAGCUGGCCUGCUGUUGCAUUGAUUACUCUUCACGGACGGAACACAAACGGAGCGGUCGUUAACAUCUGGCUCGUUUUGCCCUGCUCCUCGUUCAACGAUCCUCGCCUUGGCAUGUGCCACGAACCAAAGGACAUCUGCCAGCUGCACAAAGGGGCCCCCAACUAUUCUAUCUAGCUCUGCUAUAAAUUUUCAGUUCUUCAGCACUGUAAUGCGCUCUUUUUUUUUGCGAGCAGGGACCACGAAAAGCUAAUUAAACACGAAGUAUAUGGGGCGAUUCCAACUCGUUUUUGAUGAAUGACAUCCUUUGUCCUGGCGCAGUUGCAAUGCAGUUACAUGUUUUUUGCGGUGACACCAUUCAACACAAGGAAAGGUACCUUUUUUCGGGGAAAAUGUAAUAAAUCAAUCAUAACAGCCUUACUUUUGCAAUGAGUUCGUUUUGUCUAAAUUCACACAAACCAAACGUACAAAACGAGAACCCAAUAUAUACGCUUUUUAAACCUACAUAUAUCCAAAAUGUAAUAGAUCAUAACUCAAUUGA